ACCUACGGGGCGCAGCAGUAGGGAAUCUUCCACAAUGGGCGAAAGCCUGAUGGAGCAACGCCGCGUGGGUGAAGAAGGUCUUCGGAUCGUAAAACCCUGUUGUUAGAGAAGAAAGUGCGUGAGAGUAACUGUUCAUGUUUCGACGGUAUCUAACCAGAAAGCCACGGCUAACUACGUGCCAGCAGCCGCGGUAAUACGUAGGUGGCAAGCGUUAUCCGGAUUUAUUGGGCGUAAAGGGAACGCAGGCGGUCUUUUAAGUCUGAUGUGAAAGCCUUCGGCUUAACGGGAGUAGUGUAUUGGAAAGU
rnacentral:rRNA from 1 species